CCCCUGUUAGCUCAGACGGUAAAGGAUCUGCCUGCAAAGCAGAAGACCUGGGUUUUGAUCCCUGGAGAAGGGA
rnacentral:tRNA from 1 species